rnacentral:rRNA from 1 species
AACGAACGCUGGCGGCAGGCCUAACACAUGCAAGUCGAGCGCUUCCUUCGGGAAGAGCGGCGGACGGGUUAGUAACGCGUGGGAACGUGCCUCUCUCUACGGAAUAGCCAUUGGAAACGAUGAAUAAUACCGUAUACGCCCUUUGGGGGAAAGAUUUAUCGGAGAGAGAUCGGCCCGCGUUAGAUUAGUUAGUUGGUGGGGUAACGGCUUACCAAGACGACGAUCUAUAGCUGGUUUGAGAGGAUGAUCAGCAACACUGGGACUGAGACACGGCCCAGACUCCUACGGGAGGCAGCAGUGGGGAAUCUUAGACAAUGGGGGCAACCCUGAUCUAGCCAUGCCGCGUGAGUGAAGAAGGCCUUAGGGUCGUAAAGCUCUUUCGCCUGUGAAGAUAAUGACGGUAGCAGGUAAAGAAACCCCGGCUAACUCCG